rnacentral:tRNA from 2 species
GCCGAAGUGGCGGAACUGGCAGACGCGCCGGACUCAAAAUCCGGUUCCCCUCGGGGAGUGUGGGUUCGAUUCCCACCUUCGGCA